CCCUCUGUAGAAGAUAAGAGGACAAGAUGGAAAAAGAUGAUACUGACAGCUCUGGUUCAUCUUUGUGAAUAACAACAUCUGACAGGCCAAUUGCUCCAAGAGGCUUCAGGUAUUUAAAGAAUCAUUUUAAACAUUGCAUUUAGUCUUACAAUGUCCCAUAAGCUAUUCAUACACUUGAUAACUAAGGAAAUCUUGGUGGAGAUCAUGGACUAAAUGCAACACUGCCCAUGGUGCUUCAGUCUCUUGAAUCUAGCUACAGAAUCACUAGUGUGAGCACUGAAAAACAGUCUGGAUUCCAGAAACAUCCUUAGGUGAGCAACCCAAGGCAAAAAAUUAAAAAAAACUUUUUAAAAAAGUCUUUGUUAAGAUCCUCUCUGCUUUCAGAAAGUGUGAUUUUCUAGCAGUUCUCAAAUAUGUCAUUAGAGAGAUCAACAUGUGAACAUCAAGGGAAUAGGAUCAUGCAAUACUCGCUCUUAUCAGAUGUGAUCAUCAUUUCUAUAAAAGGGAGGCAAGUUCCUAAGAGGCCCCAUAAGUUACCAAGAUGCCCCAAUCUAGCCAUUUCAUUCCAUUUAAGUAUUCCCAAAUCUGAGGUGUUUACCAGCCCCUUGUAUGCGAAAUCUAGAGCCUCCUGAGAAAGCUACUCAUCCCACAGCCUCUGGGGGAACUGGGGGUCCCAGUCCCCAGUGGGGAUACACAGUGUGGUACCACAAUUCCAAUCAAGUCGAAUAGGAAAUGAGCUGGGUCCAGUUUCUCCCCAUGAGAGGGUUACCACAGGCUGGUAGACUGGGUAAAAGAAAAGCAGUGGAGUUCAAGUGGUGUCAGAAAGCCUGAAUUCCAACUCUGCCAAGUACCAGUGUCUAUCUUCUGAUCAAUCUCAAACACCUACAACAGUAAUGGCAUUAAGGAACCAGACAAUUAGAAGGACUUUUCCUAAGGAGAUCCAGCACUUCAUCUUUAACCAAUAUCCAACAGUUCCCCUGGAAUGAAGAGGAGUAAAGAAGUCCUACUAUUGCUUCUCCAUCUCACCAUUAGACUGGAGUUCAUUACCUUUUCAAUUGCACUUUUCAGCUUGUUCAUAUGAGAUUCAAAGAGAGGGAAGUGAGAGAAAAAGAAAUCCUGGAAAUUCUUCUGUGCCUCCUCUUUUUCAGACAGGGAGAAGAUGAUGCUGAUGGCAAUUUUCUUUCUUCGAACUAUAGCAGGAUUAGAACUGCAGGUCUCAUCAGCCAAGCUAAAAGUCUCCUCUGUUGACCUGUGCACAGAAAAAUUGGUCUGUUAGGUUGGCAUGUAUCUGAUCAUACUGACAGAGUUAAUCCUGCAACCCUAAAGAAUUACCCUAGAGUCAAGGCAAGUCAGAGAUGCUUCAUAGUUUGAAUUUGGAAACAUUCAAAAAGCCUAUAAACUACCCAUACCCUUUAAGACAGUUUGAGACAUUAUUAGGUAUGUACCCAUAAUGAAAUAAUAUGCAUCAAGAUAUAAAAAAUAAAAAACUGAAAACAAA